rnacentral:lncRNA from 1 species
GGUACUGAGACUUGUCUCUCUUUCGACUCAUGUUGUACGGAAUGAUUUUUUAUGUAUCGAAUGAUUUGUUGUGUAGUAGCAGCACAUUGUCAUCCAUAUCCUUCCAAAUUGCACCCUUUCCCGGUUUCUCCUCCUGUCUUGACAUCAAAACCGAUCUGUUCUAUAGUUUUUACUUGGCCUCUCCGAGACACUUGUGCUUAAGUUUCUGCAACUAUAUAUACCUAGUUUAUUGGUCGAUUGUAAAUGGAAUUUCGCUCCUUGCCAUGACUUAUGAUUACGACAAAAUAUCCAUUGUAACCACCUUGCAUCCCAACCUUCUCGACUUUCUUUGGUGCCAAAGACCAAUGGUUACGAUAGACCCUAGACUCAAAAUAGACCACGACACAUAUCUGCAACUAUAUAUACCUAGUUUAUUGGGCGGUUGUAUUUGGAAUUUUGCUCCUUGACAUGACUUAUGAUUAUGACAACAUAUCCAUUGUAACCACCUUGCAUCCCAACUUUCUCGACUUUCUUUGGUGCCAAAGACCAAUGGUUACGAUAGACCCUAGAGUCGAAAUAGACCGUGACUUAUGAUUGUUCUGUUUAUAUCAUCGUGUAUCUUCUAAUCGAACUAUUGUCUUCUAGGAAUCGGG